CAGUAGCCGCGGUAAUACGUAGGUGGCAAGCGUUGUCCGGAAUUAUUGGGCGUAAAGGGCUCGCAGGCGGUUUCUUAAGUCUGAUGUGAAAGCCCCCGGCUCAACCGGGGAGGGACAUUGGAAACUGGGAAACUUGAGUGCAGAAGAGGAGAGUGGAAUUCCACGUGUAGCGGUGAAAUGCGUAGAGAUGUGGAGGAACACCAGUGGCGAAGGCGACUCUCUGGUCUGUAACUGACGCUGAGGAGCGAAAGCGUGGGGAGCGAACAGGAUUAGAUACCCCUGUAGUCCCUGUCUCUUAUAC
rnacentral:rRNA from 1 species